UACGAAGGGGGCUAGCGUUGCUCGGAAUCACUGGGCGUAAAGGGUGCGUAGGCGGGUCUUUAAGUCAGAGGUGAAAUCCUGGAGCUCAACUCCAGAACUGCCUUUGAUACUGAGGAUCUUGAGUUCGGGAGAGGUGAGUGGAACUGCGAGUGUAGAGGUGAAAUUCGUAGAUAUCGGGAGGAACACCAGUGGCGAAGGCGGCGAUCUGGGUCGAUACUGACGCUGAGGUGCGAAAGCGUGGGGAGCAAACAGG
rnacentral:rRNA from 1 species